rnacentral:rRNA from 1 species
AGUGAACGCUGGCGGUAGGCCUAACACAUGCAAGUCGAACGGCAGCACAGUAAGAGCUUGCUCUUACGGGUGGCGAGUGGCGGACGGGUGAGGAAUACAUCGGAAUCUACUUUUUCGUGGGGGAUAACGUAGGGAAACUUACGCUAAGACCGCAUACGACCUACGGGUGAAAGCAGGGGAUCUUCGGACCUUGCGCGAUUGAAUGAGCCGAUGUCGGAUUAGCUAGUUGGCGGGGUAAAGGCCCACCAAGGCGACGAUCCGUAGCUGGUCUGAGAGGAUGAUCAGCCACACUGGAACUGAGACACGGUCCAGACUCCUACGGGAGGCAGCAGUGGGGAAUAUUGGACAAUGGGCGCAAGCCUGAUCCAGCCAUACCGCGUGGGUGAAGAAGACCUUCGGGUUGUAAAGCCCUUUUGUUGGGAAAGAAAAGCAGCAGGUUAAUACCCCGCUGUUCUGACGGUACCCAAAGAAUAAGCACCGGCUAACUUCGUG